rnacentral:rRNA from 1 species
UUGAACGCUGGCGGCAGGCCUAACACAUGCAAGUCGAACGGUAACAGGAAACAGCUUGCUGUUUCGCUGACGAGUGGCGGACGGGUGAGUAAUGUCUGGGAAACUGCCUGAUGGAGGGGGAUAACUACUGGAAACGGUAGCUAAUACCGCAUAACGUCGCAAGACCAAAGAGGGGGACCUUCGGGCCUCUUGCCAUCGGAUGUGCCCAGAUGGGAUUAGCUUGUUGGUGGGGUAACGGCUCACCAAGGCGACGAUCCCUAGCUGGUCUGAGAGGAUGACCAGCCACACUGGAACUGAGACACGGUCCAGACUCCUACGGGAGGCAGCAGUGGGGAAUAUUGCACAAUGGGCGCAAGCCUGAUGCAGCCAUGCCGCGUGUAUGAAGAAGGCCUUCGGGUUGUAAAGUACUUUCAGCGGGGAGGAAGGGAGUAAAGUUAAUACCUUUGCUCAUUGACGUUACCCGCAGAAGAAGCACCGGCUAACUCCGUGCCAGCAGCCGCGGUAAUACGGAGGGUGCAAGCGUUAAUCGGAAUUACUGGGCGUAAAGCGCACGCAGGCGGUUUGUUAAGUCAGAUGUGAAAUCCCCGGGCUCAACCUGGGAACUGCAUCUGAUACUGGCAAGCUUGAGUCUCGUAGAGGGGGGUAGAAUUCCAGGUGUAGCGGUGAAAUGCGUAGAGAUCUGGAGGAAUACCGGUGGCGAAGGCGGCCCCCUGGACGAAGACUGACGCUCAGGUGCGAAAGCGUGGGGAGCAAACAGGAUUAGAUACCCUGGUAGUCCACGCCGUAAACGAUGUCGACUUGGAGGUUGUGCCCUUGAGGCGUGGCUUCCGGAGCUAACGCGUUAAGUCGACCGCCUGGGGAGUACGGCCGCAAGGUUAAAACUCAAAUGAAUUGACGGGGGCCCGCACAAGCGGUGGAGCAUGUGGUUUAAUUCGAUGCAACGCGAAGAACCUUACCAGGUCUUGACAUCCGAUGCAUAACACAGAGAUGUGUGAAAUCCUUCGGGACAUCGAGACAGGUGGUGCAUGGUUGUCGUCAGCUCGUGUCGUGAGAUGUUGGGUUAAGUCCCGCAACGAGCGCAACCCUUAUGGUCAGUUACUACGCAAGAGGACUCUGGCCAGACUGCCGUUGACAAAACGGAGGAAGGUGGGGAUGACGUCAAAUCAUCAUGCCCUUUAUGACUUGGGCUACACACGUACUACAAUGGCGUUAGACAAAGAGAAGCGACCUCGCGAGAGCAAGCGGACCUCAUAAAGUGCGUCGUAGUCCGGAUUGGAGUCUGCAACUCGACUCCAUGAAGUCGGAAUCGCUAGUAAUCGUGGAUCAGAAUGCCACGGUGAAUACGUUCCCGGGCCUUGUACACACCGCCCGUCACACCAUGGGAGUGGGUUGCAAAAGAAGUAGGUAGCUUAACCUUCGGGAGGGCGCUUACCACUUUGUGAUUCAUGACUGGGGUG